GUGGGGAAUAUUGGACAAUGGGCGCAAGCCUGAUCCAGCCAUGCCGCGUGAGUGAUGAAGGCCUUAGGGUUGUAAAGAUCUUUCACCGAUGAAGAUAAUGACGGUAGUCGGAGAAGAAGCCCCGGCUAACUUCGUGCCAGCAGCCGCGGUAAUACGAAGGGGGCUAGCGUUGUUCGGAUUUACUGGGCGUAAAGCGCACGUAGGCGGUUUGUUAAGUCAGGGGUGAAAUCCCGGAGCUCAACUCCGGAACUGCCUUUGAUACUGGCAAGCUAGAGUCCGGAAGAGGUAAGUGGAACUCCUAGUGUAGAGGUGGAAUUCGUAGAUAUUAGGAAGAACACCAGUGGCGAAGGCGGCUUACUGGUCCGGAACUGACGCUGAGGUGCGAAAGCGUGGGGAGCAAACAGGAUUAGAAACCCUUGUAGUCC
rnacentral:rRNA from 1 species